UUUAAUCACAAUUCUCCUGCAUUACAGAAUACCGAAGUUUUGUGUUAUUCUAUAAAGGGGCUAAUUUCUGUUUGCGUCUCGGGAAAAGAUGCCCAGUAAUUAAAAGACUUAAAUCUGUAUACAAAUGGCAGCAUUGUGAAACAUGGUGAGAUUUGAACACGACUCAACGGAGGAAUCGGCUCUCUACGCCGCCAAGCGCACACUGCGGGAAGAACAACUUUAUGUAUCCUGGGAAACAGUUAUUAACAUAGAUAUGUGCCACUAUAUGUCUUCUACAUAAAUGUAAAAUAAAUUAAAACAGUGUAAAAAUAUCGCUUAAACACGAGGGCAAAAUAAAAGCCGUACGGUAUUCAGUUGCUGAUCAAACUCUCAUUGGGCCUCCAGUUGUUCAUCUAAUCUCUCCUCCGCCAUUUCACUGCAUUAUACUGCAGGAAACACAGGCUGAAACACCGACUCAGCUCCCGCGCCUCACACACGCAUGAUCCGGAUCCCGAAGCCGCGGUUUAGCGCCGGUGUGAGGAGAGACCGGCCUGGAUUUGGGGUUUGAACGGGUUUGAACGAUCCUGCGCUCGAUCAGAGAUGGAGGCCAUCUGUGGGGAGAUGGAGGUGGAGAGCUGCUACACGCUUCUGGAUCUUCCUUUACCCAAAAAGAAACACAAGAGCAAAGGCAGCGGAGCUCAGACAAAGCCAAGAAGGUCGGCGUAUCUGCUGUAUUACUUUGACGUGCAUCAGUGCGUCCAGCAGGUGCAUCCGGACCUGCCACAGUCUGAGAUCAACAAAUGCAUCAGUGACAGCUGGCAGAGGCUGAACGUGGAGGAUCGAGGUUAUUACCUGGAGAGAGCGCGCAUGGAGAAAGACGGCAUCGACCCGAGCAGCCAAUCAGCAGCCGCGUCCUCUCAGGACGUCCCAGGUUUCCGCAAGAUCCUCCCGAGGGCGAAUUACGUGCUCCUGCCCAAGAGUUCAGCGGGAGGCGAGCGAGCAAGCUAACUUAGACAAAACUGUUGAACAAACUAGUGAAACAAAUGGGAGAAAAUCCCAUCAGAUACACACGGCGAGGACGGGGCAGCUGCACCACACCUGGCUGUCCUCUGAGGAUGUGUGCUCUUCUGCGGUUCUGUCGGACGCGUCUCAGCCUCUGAGCAGCGCUCAGAAAGAGCAGCAGUGUCACUCCACCGUCAGUCUGCUGUGCUCCUGUCUGCAGUUCCCUGAGAGCGAGAGCGAGCUGCAGGACGUCUUCAGCCUCAUACAGCAGCUCAACGGCCAGCAGAAGCACAGCGAGAAAAGCAGCGGCUGGCCGAGCUUCUACGAGCCGGCGGCCACACACUGGAGUCUGUGUCAAUACCCGCUGCUCAAAGCAGACCAGAGGUGAGAGCACUCAUAGGUUCUCAGAUGGAGAUCUACAUGUUGUGGUGCUUUUGUCUUUUUGUGUUGUUUAGUUCACUUGCGAGUUUGGAGGAAUGCUGGUUGUUGACAGAGCGCUUGAUUCGUCCCGUCACUCUGCAGCUGAAAGUCUGUACGAAUCUUCAGUGUCUGGCCAUGCACAGUUUCACAGACCUGCUCCCAGGUAAAAACACACACACACACACAAUUCUAAGUUGUCAUUAAAUCAGAUGAUAAAUAUGCUUUUAAUUAUACUUUCAAAACUGUUGCUCUUCCGAUAAAAUU